rnacentral:rRNA from 1 species
UACGAAGGGGGCUAGCGUUGCUCGGAAUCACUGGGCGUAAAGCGCGCGCAGGCGGCACUCUAAGUACGUCGUGAAAUCUCCUUGCUCAACGGGGAGGGUGCGAAGUAGACUAGGGAGCUAGAGGUCGGUAGAGGUGAGUGGAACUGCGAGUGUAGAGGUGAAAUUCGUAGAUAUUCGCAAGAACACCAGUGGCGAAGGCGGGUCUCUGGGCCGAUACUGACGCUGAGGAGCGAAAGCGUGGGGAGCGAACAGG